CAGAUAAGAAAAAUUGCAGAAAAUUAAGGAACAAUUAUAGAUAAGGAAAAAUGCAGAAAUUAAAGCAACUAAGGUGAUCGCGGUCGGUGGCAGAUUUGUUUAGCUUCAUGGUUGGUAAUGACCGAGUCUUCUAUGAUGUGGGCGAUUUGAUCGUGUCAUUUGAGGGGAUUUCUUAGCCCAGAUAUCUCAAAUUCUUCACUGGGACCCAUUGGGAUCUUUGGGACCCAUCAUAAAAUGAAAUUUCAGAAGGAAGAGAGAGAAAAGGUAUCUAUCUUUUUUAUUUUUUCUAGAGAAAAAUGAGGCAUUUGGUGGUUUCCUCUAGAGAUAAGAGGGAAGAACAAUAGAAACGGGUAUACCUCUCAUGCUUCUAAAUUUUUGCUUGUUAUAUUACUAGGCUCUUUGAUGUACCGGGAUUACUGAAGAAGUCCAAUUUAUAUUAUGCUGUGUUGG
rnacentral:lncRNA from 1 species